UUAAUUGAAGCUAAAAUGAAGCAUUCCACUGUUAAUGGAAAAAUUGGAACAUUCCCAGUUAAG
rnacentral:tRNA from 1 species